CUUGGCAGCCAUCUUGGUGAUAACUCUGGGAGCAUGUUUGAGCAGGGUUGUCCUGCAGGGAAGUGAAGUUCAGAGGAACUAUCGAUGUGUCCAACCUGUCUGACAAGAAAGAUGAGGACGACCUGGACAUCUGCGUGGCUUUCUGUAUGGACCAGCU